rnacentral:tRNA from 1 species
GAGACUAUAGCUCAGCUGGAUAGAGCAAUUGCCUUCUAAGCAAUGGGUCGCAGGUUCGAAUCCUGUUAGUCUCA